CCUGCCCCUAGAGGCAUUGCAGGUGUGACUUCUGUGUCACAUGUGCAUCCUCCGUAAGUGGGAGAGGGGAGAGAGGCUACGACUGCGCUGAGUCUUCUGAGCCAGGAAUAUCUGGAUGAUUACUAGUCUAAUAUU